AGUGAACGCUGGCGGUAGGCUUAACACAUGCAAGUCGAACGGCAGCACAGUAAUAGCUUGCUCUUACGGGUGGCGAGUGGCGGACGGGUGAGGAAUACAUCUGCAUCUACUUUUUCGUGGGGGAUUACGUAGGGAAACUUCCGCUAAUACCGCAUAAGACCUACGGUAGAAAGCAGGGACUCUUCGGAAUUUGCGCGAUUGUAUGAGCCGCGGUCGGAUUAGCUAGUUGGCGGGGUAAAGGCCCAUCAAGGCGACGAUCCGAAGCUGGUCUGAGAGGAUGAUCAGCCACACUGGAAUGGAGACGCGGUCCAGACUACAACGGUAGGCAGCAGUGGGGAAUAUUGGACAAGGGGAGCGAGCCGGGUCCAGCCAUACCGCGUGGGGGAAGAGAGCCUUCUGGUUGGAAAGCCCUUUUGUUUGGAAAGAAAAGUAGCAAGUGAAUACCGCGCUGUUCUGACGGUACCCAAUGAAUAAGCACCGGCUAACUUCGUG
rnacentral:rRNA from 1 species